GCUGGAUUUGCCUCACACUAGCCCAGGCUAUCCAUGUUAGCUGUGUGUAUACUGACUUCAGCAUUUAUCCGUGCGUUUCCCUGAUCAAGCUGACGGGAAGGCAGCGGCAGCGGCGGCAGCAGCAGCAGCAGCGUAAUAAAGAGACAUGGCUGGAAAACACAAACCCAGAUGCUGCGUGGAGUAAAAGAGGAAACCAGAUGAAUGAUGAUCAGUGAAUUUUAAGAGAAAAAUCAGAGAGAAGGAAAGUGAUGUGUUGACAGCGUGGAGAAAUUGAAUUAGCAGCUGCAGCGCCGGGAACAUUGAAUCAUAUUAGGAGCGCAGCAGAGGAGCAGAGGCUACCUGCAGGCCGGAGGGAGAGGCUCCUCACCCCUCUGCUUUCACUCAGGCCCACGGAGAGCCCCCCCCCCCACAGCACGGAGGACAAGAUCCCAUCAGGAAUCCUUCAACAUGACACAAAACAUAACGACAUCCACGGAAUAUUCACAACUUCUCAUCAAGACUGGAAAGACAAAACCAUGGGGGGGGGGGGGGGGGUCUUUAGUUUAGUUGGCAUAGUUAAGUCAUAUUUCAGUGUUUGGUUAUUUCCAAAACACCAGUACAAUCAGUAUAAUAAUUUCUAAUUCUAACCGGCGAGACAUGAAUUUAGCCUACUUAAAGAUAUGAAAAAAAGAACCAAGUUGGAACAAUAUAUAAAUCAGCCGAUGUUGCGAUUAAAUAUUAUUGCAAAAUCGAAGAUAAUAUUUUCUUUGAGAUCUGAUUAUUUGCGGCUUCGAGACGCAGUGAAAAUGAUUAAAACUGCUAAUGUGUUCCUUUGCAGUAUUGUCACAUAAUUCCGUCGUUGGUCAAGUAAGCGAGUUGAAUAUAUAACUAGGCUGUGAGUGGAGUCAGACUUCAGACUUCAAAUAACCGUGCCCCCCCCCAAAAAAAAAUAGUCAACUGUCAUAUGUCUUCUAUCAGAUUAUGUUGCACACUGUGAAUUCAUAUUUGCUAAUUUAAAAUGAAAGCGAGCCUAUAGGCUACAUGUAGCAGCCUAAACUGAGUUCAGGUAAGGUGAUCCGUGCUUCCUCUUCUCUACAGGUAAGUGCUUUAUUAGGGAUUGUAAAAAUCCCACAAACCUGAACCAGCACUGAGAAUGGACACUGAUUAAUGGGUUUCUUGAAGGAUAAAUAUGGAGGAUGGAACUGAAGCUGAUCCAGAAA